ACCGGCGUGGCGGGUUCUUUGCGCGGAGCUUGGCACACGAAUGAUGGUGAGCUAUGCCCGGGCAGGACGAGGCCAGACGAAACUCUGGUGGAGGUCCGAAGCGCUUGUGACGUGCAAAUCGAUCAUCCCACCCAGGUAUAGGGGCGAAAAACUGAUCAAACCAUCUAGUAGCUGGUUUCCUCCGAAGUUUUCAUCAAGAUAGCUGACGCUUGUUGCCGAGACCAGUCAGUCACACCUGGUAAAACGUAUCAUUAGAGGCAUUGGGGACGAAACGACCUAAACCUAUUUUCUAAUUGUCAAUGGGUGUGUCGGAGGCCUUCUGGCCUGAGGCCUCCGGAAGCGAUGAAAGUGCCAAGUGGGCCACGUUUGGUAAGCAAAACAUGCGCUGUGGGAUGAACCAAACGCCGGGGUAAGGCGCCCAAUGCGGGACGGUCAUGAGAUCACAUGAAGCGUGUUGGUUGCUUAAGACAGCAGGGCGAUGGCCAUGGAAGUCGGAACCUGCUAAGGAGUGUUUAACAACUCACCUGCCGAAGCAACUGGCCCCGAGACUGGAUGGCGCUCUAGUGUCGAGCCUAUCGCCGGCUGCUGCCGGUAGGUGCACGCAAACAAGGGGGUGCUAAGCUGCAGCGAGCAGGAGGGCCGCUGCAGUGAGCGUUGAACGUGACGGGCAUAAGCCCGCCUGGAGCCGCCGCUAGUGCAGAUCUUGGUGGUAGUAGCCAAUACUCAAGUCAGAACCUUGAGAACUGAAGUGGAGAAGGGUUCCAUGUGAACAGCAGUUGAACAUGGGUCAGUCGGUCCUAAGGAAAGGGAGAAGUUCUUUCCGUAGCGGGAGCACCUUUUUGCAGUGGAGAGAACUCCGCAGUGACUGAAAGCGAAUCUGGUUAAUAAUCCCGGACACGGAGAUUGGUUCUUCGGGGCCCAGUGCGGUAACGCAAACCAGCUUGGAGACGCCGGUGCGAGCCCCGGGAAGAGUUUUCUUUUCUCUGUAAGGAGAUCGAGUCCCUGGAAUGGGUUCGCCCCGAGAUAAGGAUGGCGGCUCCGUAGAGCAGUGUGGCUCUUGCGCUGUCCGGUGCGCUCGCGUUGGCCCUUGAAAAUCCGAGGGAGGGAGUGUGAUUUUCGUGCCGGACCAUACACACAUCCGUAGCAGGUCUCUAAGGUACGUUGUCAAGCU
rnacentral:ncRNA from 1 species